AAAUAAAUUGUGCUGGCAGAACCUCACCAUUUAGUUCUAUUUACCAACUGCUAUAUACGUACAUAUGUAUUGAUAAUAAUGCAAUUGAGAAAAUGUGAUAACGUAGUCUUAAUGAACUCAAGUGAUAACAAAUACGUGGUCUUCAUGUCGAAUGUAUGGGUCAAAUUGUGUGUUAUAUUCAUAACUGCCGUCCCUAAAUAAAAGCUUUGGCGGAACGUUUUUUACCGCAUAUAGUAGCCACUCAUGAUUACACAUGUAUGUUCGAUCAGUAUGAAAUCAUUUCGCCAUACACUACAUACAAAUCGAUUUUUUUGCUCGUUCUUCAAGGAAUAAACAUGCCCCAUACAUUAUAAACAUGUGUGUACACCGAUCGUAAAAAGCAAACAUUUUCGCGAACAUGGAUUGGUAUGCACACAAGCCCAUAUACGAGUAAAUCAUACAUGUGUAUCGUGCAGGGAUAAAUUUAUCUCUGGUAUCGUGUAUGGCCACUUUCAGAGUUAACGGUGAUGCGGAUCCCUAAAUAAAAGCGACAGCUUUACGUCAAAUAUCAAAAUUGUUACUUGAAUUGUUGUUGUGAAAUUUUAUUGUACAGAGAAACUUCGUUUUUCGCAGCCAACUUUACUUCUUAAGCUGAAACUACAUAGCUCGGAUUCGACGACUCACAGAAGUUGAAUGUUUUCAACUUUCAUGCACAUGCAGCAACCUUCACAUUCUUAAGAAUAGCAACCAACAUAAUGUUCCUUACAAUCUUGUGUGUUUUAAUUAUUUAAGUAUUUUUGUGAAAUAUAAUAUUUAUUAAUUUAUUAAUAAUAUAUUUAUCAAAUAUUUAAAAUAAUUUUUAAAGAUUAGGGGUGAUGAAGUUUUAAUAAACAAAGUAGGUAGUUUAAAUUUUCCUUCCGUUUCUUAAUUCGAAGUUUUAUAUGUAUAUUGCUUAUAAAAAUCAAUAAGAAUUUAAAAUCGACGUCCAUAUUAUUUAGGUCGUUUUCAAAAUCACAAAGAAAAUGUGUGUAUGUGUAUCACCUUGUACACAGCUGUCAACGCAUUCAAUAGCGCAUUUAUUCAGCUGCUCGAAAUAUACGCAGUCAAGUGCACUUUUACGCUUUCGCAUUCGCAUACGCGAGCUAUGUAGUUAAGAGUCGCCGUCGCGUUAUUUCGGUAUGCCCCAAACAAAUUGUGUGGGCAUGAGAAUAAUUUCACUGUAAUUUAAUAUAUAUAUACUAGAGCUCUUGGUAUUCGACUAACCGAAUUAACCGAAUAGGGCAUUAUUCGAAUAAUAAUAUUUGGUUUACACUAUUCGGAUAGUCGUCAGUCAUCGACUAUUCGAUUAACCGCUCAUUUUCGACUAUUCGGUUAACCCUUCGUUGUCGACUAUUCGAAUAGUGCAAGUUCAUUAAUUUUCUUAUUUGUAUUGAAAAAAGGGAAACAUUAAAACUAACGAUUAACUUGCUUUAAAAUGUAAAAAAUAACAAUGAUUUUACGGGAACCAUUAAGUAAUGACAUAAUAGUUUUUAACCAUUUCAACUGGAUGAAUGUAUUAAAUCAGUAUUUUUCAUAAAAAGUCUAUUUUGAUAUAAGAAAGUUAAAAGGUUAACAUUUGUUGGUUGCAAGCAGCUUCUACGUGGAGCUACAAUGUUUCCAGCAAUGGAGAACGUCCUCCCUGAUUCUGAUAAAGUGGCUGGAAUGCGUAAACUUUAAAAAAUCAAAAGCUGUUUGGAUUUCAAACAAUUUUCAUUUAUUCGAAUAGUGACUGCAUAACUAUUCGAAUAACCGCAGUUGAACGACUAUUCGAAUAGUCGUAACAUUGCGAUUAAUCGAAUAGUACUAACCGGUUAAUAUUAGUACGAACGGUUACAAACCGGAUAUUUGAAUAAUCGGUUUUCAGGUUAAUCGAAUAAUUUUAAGAGCCCUAAUAUAUACAUUCAAUUUAUAAAGAAAAAUCUUUUUAUUUUAGUCAAAGAAUACGAAAUAAAUUUAAAAUUUUUACAAAUCUGUUGAAUUUCUGUAAAGUGCACAGAAUAGGCUGUAUAUAUAUAUAUAUAGGUGGCUUUUUCCUGGCUACAUAGGACGAGUACUAGGGAAGUUUCAACACUCUUCUCGCUUCCUCAUGGUUACUUUUGUGGUUUUAAUAUUUUUUGUAUUUUUCCCCAACUCUUAAAGACGGUAUAACCUUAUCAUCUAUAUAGAGGAAAUGGGGUCGUAAAACCAAACUAAAUAUUUUGCAACAUGUCUGGGAGGCUUCAGUCGAUAUCUCGAAUCAGAAUCGGAUAGAUAUGCUGAUAACCGGUCAAUCAUAAGCCAAACUUAUCAACGAAGCCACAAUGAAGAAGGCUCGGUUAAAACAAACACUGAAAUUUAAUAUUCAAAAUGUGUAAUUACCAAAUAUUCACACAAAGCCAAACAGAUUAUGUUGCCAAUAACGUUCUUUGUAUUUUCCACUAUCGACUAUCGGUAUAAAAAUCUUGUUGCGGUUCUAUUCUUUAUGUCACGCCAUUCUACCGUUGUUCAUACGACAAUGGGCAGCUGUAGAGUUGCCACUACUAUGUAAAAUGUAAAAUUAUUAAAAGUUAUAACAAAUAUGACGUUAUUUUGCCAGCAGAAACGUAAAAUAGCUUUGAUAUAUCAUUUAUAAUAACAAUCAAUUAUUUAAAACAAAUAAAUCGCCAAUUUUUA